rnacentral:tRNA from 2 species
GUCAGGGUAGCUCAGCUGGUAGAGCAG